rnacentral:misc_RNA from 1 species
AUGAUGAUGAUGAUGAUGAUGAUAAUGAACAAAACACAGAAUCUGUGCACAUAAAUCUUCUUUCUCAUCAAACCCCAACUUCCAAAAACCCGCCACUAAAACUAAUACCCCACAGAUAUUUCCCCGUAAUUAACACAAAGCCCAAAACCCAGAAUUGAUUCACCCCUGAAAGAACGAGAAGAAGAGAGAAAGUUCUGUUUUAGCCCUACAAAAACACUAGAUAACCCAAAAACGAAAGGGAAAACAAAGUCUAUGCAAGAAAGAAAAAGAAAACCACCGAGAGAGAGAGAGAGA